GUUGGUAGAGCGCAACCUUGCCAAGGUUGAGGUCACGAGUUCGAACCUCGUGUGUCGCUCCA
rnacentral:tRNA from 9 species